rnacentral:rRNA from 1 species
GAUGAACGCUAGCGGCAGGCUUAAUACAUGCAAGUCGAGGGGCAGCAUGAUUGUAGCAAUACAAUUGAUGGCGACCGGCAAACGGGUGCGGAACACGUACACAACCUUCCAAUAAGUGGGGAAUAGCCCAGAGAAAUUUGGAUUAAUACCCCGUAACAUAACGAUGUGGCAUCACAUUGUUAUUAUAGAUUUUUCGCUUAUUGAUGGGUGUGCGGCUGAUUAGAUAGUUGGCGGGGUAACGGCCAACCAAGUCUACGAUCAGUAGCUGAUGUGAGAGCAUGAUCAGCCACACGGGCACUGAGACACGGGCCCGACUCCUACGGGAGGCAGCAGUAAGGAAUAUUGGACAAUGGACGCAAGUCUGAUCCAGCCAUGCCGCGUGAAGGAUUAAGGUCCUCUGGAUUGUAAACUUCUUUUAUAAGGGACGAAAAAAGGCUUUUCUAAGUCGUCUGACGGUACCUUAUGAAUAAGCACCGGCUAACUCCGUGCCAGCCGCCGCUGUAACAC